CCUACGGUGGCAGCAGUGGGGAAUAUUGGACAAUGGGGGGAACCCUGAUCCAGCCAUGCCGCGUGCAGGAAGACGGCUCUAUGAGUUGUAAACUGCUUUUGUACGAGGGUAAACGCAGAUACGCGUAUCUGUCUGAAAGUAUCGUACGAAUAAGGAUCGGCUAACUCCGUGCCAGCAGCCGCGGUAAUACGGAGGAUUCAAGCGUUAUCCGGAUUUAUUGGGUUUAAAGGGUGCGUAGGCGGUCGGAUAAGUUAGAGGUGAAAUCCCGAGGCUCAACUUCGGAAUUGCCUCUGAUACUGUUCGGCUAGAGAGUAGUUGCGGUAGGCGGAAUGUAUGGUGUAGCGGUGAAAUGCUUAGAGAUCAUACAGAACACCGAUUGCGAAGGCAGCUUACCAAGCUACUUCUGACGUUGAGGCACGAAAGCGUGGGGAGCAAACAGGAUUAGAUACCCGAGUAGUC
rnacentral:rRNA from 1 species